GACGAACGCUGGCGGCGUGCUUAACACAUGCAAGUCGAACGGAAAGGCCCUGCUUUUGUGGGGUGCUCGAGUGGCGAACGGGUGAGUAACACGUGAGUAACCUGCCCUUGACUUUGGGAUAACUUCAGGAAACUGGGGCUAAUACCGGAUAGGAGCUCCUGCUGCAUGGUGGGGGUUGGACAGUUUCGGCGGUUGGGGAUGGACUCGCGGCUUAUCAGCUUGUUGGUGGGGUAGUGGCUUACCAAGGCUUUGACGGGUAGCCGGCCUGAGAGGGUGACCGGCCACAUUGGGACUGAGAUACGGCCCAGACUCCUACGGGAGGCAGCAGUGGGGAAUAUUGCACAAUGGGCGGAAGCCUGAUGCAGCAACGCCGCGUGCGGGAUGACGGCCUUCGGGUUGUAAACCGCUUUCGCCUGUGACGAAGCGGGAGUGACGGUAAUGGGUAAAGAAGCACCGGCUAACUACGUG
rnacentral:rRNA from 1 species